GAGGGUGUAGCUCAGUGGUAGAAUGUGUGCUUAGCACGCACGGGGUCCUGGGUUCAGUCCCCAGUACCUCCA
rnacentral:tRNA from 1 species